rnacentral:rRNA from 1 species
GGUGUUCACCUCUUCCCAUACCGAACAGAGCAGUUAAGCCCCUCAUGGCCGAUGGUACUAGAUUUUCUGGGAGAGUAGGUAGGUGCCA